rnacentral:rRNA from 1 species
UACGGGGGAGCAAGCGUUGUUCGGAUUUACUGGGCGUAAAGGGCGCGUAGGCGGCCACCGGCAAGUCGACUGUGAAAUCUCCGGGCUUAACCCGGAAAGGUCAGCCGAUACUGCGGGCUAGAGUGCAGGAAGGGCAACUGGAAUUCUCGGUGUAGCGGUGAAAUGCGCAGAUAUCAGGAGGAACACCGGUGGCGAAGGCGGAUCUCUGGGCCUUACCUGGACGCUGAGGCGCGAAAGCUAGGGGAGCAAACAGG